UUUGAUCCUGGCUCAGAUUGAACGCUGGCGGCAUGCUUUACACAUGCAAGUCGAACGGCAGCACGGGGGCAACCCUGGUGGCGAGUGGCGAACGGGUGAGUAAUAUAUCGGAACGUGUCCUGUAAUGGGGGAUAACGCAGCGAAAGUUGUGCUAAUACCGCAUACGAUCUACGGAUGAAAGCGGGGGACCGCAAGGCCUCGCGUUAUAGGAGCGGCCGAUAUCGGAUUAGCUAGUUGGCGGGGUAAAGGCCCACCAAGGCGACGAUCCGUAGCUGGUCUGAGAGGAUGAUCAGCCACACUGGGACUGAGACACGGCCCAGACUCCUACGGGAGGCANCAGUGGGAAAUUUUGGACAAUGGGGGCAACCCUGGUCCAGCCAUGCCGCGUGACUGAAGAAUGGCUUCAGGUUGUAUAAUCUUUCCCUACGAAAGAACCGAAUCCUCUAAUCCCCCGAACCAUAGAUAAGUC
rnacentral:rRNA from 1 species